rnacentral:rRNA from 1 species
CAGCCGCCGCGGUAAUACAGAGGGUGCAAGCGUUAAUCGGAUUUACUGGGCGUAAAGCGUGCGUAGGCGGCUAUUUAAGUCGGAUGUGAAAGCCCUGGGCUUAACCUGGGAACUGCAUUCGAUACUGGGUAGCUGGAGAUCGGUAGAGGGCGGCGGAAUUCCGGGUGUAGCGGUGAAAUGCGUAGAUAUCCGGAGGAACACCGAUGGCGAAGGCAACCGCCUGGGCCUGAUCUGACGCUGAGGCACGAAAGCGUGGGGAGCAAACAGGAUUAGAUACCCUGGUAGUCCACGCUGUAAACGAUGAGAACUUGACGUCCGCUUGCUCUGCGAGUGGGUGUCGAAGCUAACGCGCUAAGUUCUCCGCCUGGGGAGUACGGCCGCAAGGUUGAAACUCAAAUGAAUUGACGG